GACGAACGCUGGCGGCGUGCUUAACACAUGCAAGUCGAACGAAGUGGCGAACGGGUGAGUAACGCGUAAUCAACCUGCCUUUCAGAGGGGAACAACAGGUGGAAACGACUGCUAAUACCGAAUACUGAAGGAGGGGAUUGCGUCUGAUUAGCUAGUUGGAGGGGUAACGGCCCACCAUGGCGAUGAUCAGUAGCCGGGCUGAGAGGAAGAACGGGCACAUUUGGAAUGGGGACCGGCCCCGUCUCCUACGGGGGGGCGCAAGGGGGAAUUUUCCGCAAUUGAGGAAAGUCUGACGGAGCAAAGCCGCGGUGGUGGUGGCGGCCUUCGGGUUGUAAAGCUCUGUUCAUCGGGGCGCGGUACCGGAAUAGAAAGCCACGGCUAACUCCGUGCCAGCAGCCGCGGUAAUUC
rnacentral:rRNA from 1 species